rnacentral:rRNA from 1 species
AGAGUUUGAUCCUGGCUCAGGAUGAACGCUAGCUACAGGCUUAACACAUGCAAGUCGAGGGGAAACGACAUCGAAAGCUUGCUUUUGAUGGGCGUCGACCGGCGCACGGGUGAGUAACGCGUAUCCAACCUGCCCACCACUUGGGGAUAACCUUGCGAAAGUAAGACUAAAUACCCAAUGACGUCUCUAGAAGACAUCUGAAAAGGGAUUAAAAGAUUUUAUCGGUGAUGGAUGGGGAUGCGUCUGAUUAGCUUGUUGGCGGGGUAACGGCCACCAAGGCUACGAUCAGUAGGGGUUCUGAGAGGAAGGUCCCCCACAUUGGAACCUGAGACACGGUCCAAAACUCCUACGGGAAGCA